GACGAACGCUGGCGGCGUGCCUAAUACAUGCAAGUCGAGCGAGUCUGCCUUGAAGAUCGGAGUGCUUGCACUCUGUGAAACAAGAUACAGGCUAGCGGCGGACGGGUGAGUAACACGUGGGUAACCUGCCCAAGAGAUCGGGAUAACACCUGGAAACAGAUGCUAAUACCGGAUAACAACAGAUGAUGCCUAUCAACUGUUUAAAAGAUGGUUCUGCUAUCACUCUUGGAUGGACCUGCGGUGCAUUAGCUAGUUGGUAGGGUAACGGCCUACCAAGGCGAUGAUGCAUAGCCGAGUUGAGAGACUGAUCGGCCACAUUGGGACUGAGACACGGCCCAAACUCCUACGGGAGGCAGCAGUAGGGAAUCUUCCACAAUGGACGCAAGUCUGAUGGAGCAACGCCGCGUGAGUGAAGAAGGGUUUCGGCUCGUAAAGCUCCGUUGUUGGUGAAGAAGGACAGGGGUAGUAACUGACCUUUGUUUGACGGUAAUCAAUUAGAAAGUCACGGCUAACUAAGUG
rnacentral:rRNA from 1 species